UUCUUUGUCGGUAAACAGAGGUGGAAACAGUCUGUGGGAGCCGCGCCUACAUUACAAACAGCUGAACGGAUCAGAGAAGCUGAACUGGUCAGGAUGUAAUCAACAGCAUCGGCAAUAACAGGGUGUGUUUACUUUACCCCACAGAUGCUGAAUGAAACCGAGUUCUGGACUCUUUCCAGCACGAAAUCCUCUCACCAGGUUCAUGCAGAAAGUUUCACCUCAAAAUUACUGUUAGAGGAGACCCAUUAAGGUUCUUAAGGACCCAUUAAGGUUCUUAAGGACCCAUUAAGAUUCUUAAGGACCCAUUAAGGUUCUUAAGGACCCAUUAAGGUUCCUUUAAACAGGUCCAAACCGUUUCCAAUAUGACUCCAACGAGUACUUGCAGGCCAAAACAUUUACAUUUUUUAAAGACUAAAAACAGUUCUAUUGAAAUUGUUUUACCUGCUUCAUGCUAAAAUAAACUUAGCAUAAAAUAUUUUACACAAAAUAAUUCCAUUUUUUGUAGGAAAGGAAUGUGUAAAUUUUUCUAGAUUUAACAUUUCAGAAGAGUAUAAUUAUCUAACAAAAAAAGGCAGUUACUUCACUUAUUUACUCUGGCCUUGAUUGAAAAAAAAUGUAAAAAGAUUGAAUCUAUUCUCUCAACAAAAACACAAGUUAAGUCAUUCUUUAUUUUAAUACUUGCUGCCAAGUUUUAAUAAUGUAGUUAAAAGCAGAUUUGGGUGUACCAAAGUCUGCUUCAUGAAAUUGUGACGUAUUUGUGAGAAGAUUUUAAUUUGUGGCUCAGAACGUCUGCAUCAACCUCCUGCUCCGGUGGGACCAAUCUGUGUCAUUCAGGGACCAUAACUGGCCCCCGGGCCACUCUUUGGACACCAUGGGAUACAAAACGUUCUCGUUACAUUUUUUAUGCAAAAUCUUUGAGAUUAUCAGAUUUCACCUGCUCAGUUCCUGUUUUCACCUCUUUGUUACUUUUAUGCAAAUAAGUUGCAGCUGGCCACGCCCCCUCUGCUAAUCAUUUACAUUUCAUUCACAUAAAAAUGGCUGCAAACAGUCGCAGUUAUACAACCGCACACUCUGACCUAGCGCUGGGCCACAUGGCUUAAAAAUAACAUUUAUUUUUAUCACACCAGAUCCGAUUUCCAACUUUGAUCUAUUUUUUUCCUCAUUUUCCUAAAAAAA